AAAUAAACGUCUUGAUACAUACUGGUGCCUUUGUUGGCAGUCUCAGCAGAGAGCUCAGGAAAUGAAUGAGCACAGAGACUAAACCAUGCUCACCAGGUAUAUUAGAAGUGUGCUUGUUGCAAAUGUUCUGUCAAAGGACUAUCAAAAAGGAAAGACACCCUGAGCAGAGAGACACGUCAAGGCUUCUAUUGAUCUCCUUAAAAGAACGCUGACCUUGUCAUGGUGAUUCAUGCCUUCAUGACCUCUGUGCUGGAUUGCUGACUUGAACAAACCACCUUUGGAACUACCCUUGAAAAUCACUUACAUAGUUUGCAUCUGUUGCAGAAACCAGCAGUAUGACCUCUGGGCCUUUGCCAGAGAAAGUUGGUGAUGCCCCUUUGCAUAUAUUAUAGUACAGCCUUUUGAUGCAUGUUGUGCCUGUCAUAUA